rnacentral:rRNA from 1 species
CAGGGAUUGCCCUAGUAACGGCGAGUGAAGCGGCAACAGCUCAAAUUUGAAAUCUGGCUCUUUCAGAGUCCGAGUUGUAAUUUGCAGAGGGCGCUUUGGCGUUGGCAGCGGUCCAAGUUCCUUGGAACAGGACGUCACAGAGGGUGAGAAUCCCGUACGUGGUCGCUGGCCUUCGCCGUGUAAAGCCCCUUCGACGAGUCGAGUUGUUUGGGAAUGCAGCUCUAAAUGGGAGGUAAAUUUCUUCUAAAGCUAAAUACUGGCCAGAGACCGAUAGCGCACAAGUAGAGUGAUCGAAAGAUGAAAAGCACUUUGGAAAGAGAGUCAAAUAGCACGUGAAAUUGUUGAAAGGGAAGCGCUUGCAGCCAGACUUGCCUGUAGUUGCUCAUCCGGGCUCUCGCCCGGUGCACUCUUCUACAGGCAGGCCAGCAUCAGUUUGGGCGGUUGGAUAAAGGUCUCUGUCACGUACCUCCUCUCGGGGAGGCCUUAUAGGGGAGACGACAUGCAACCAGCCUGGACUGAGGUCCGCGCAAUUGCUAGGAUGCUGGCGUAAUGGCUGUAAGCGGCCCGUCUUGAAACACGGACCAAGGAGUCUAACAUCUAUGCGAGUGUUUGGGUGUCAAGCCCGAGCGCGCAAUGAAAGUGAACGGAGGUGGGAACCCUUUUGGGGUGCACCAUCGACCGAUCCUGAUGUCUUCGGAUGGAUUUGAGUAAGAGCAUGGCUGUUGGGACCCGAAAGAUGGUGAACUAUGCUUGAAUAGGGUGAAGCCAGAGGAAACUCUGGUGGAGGCUCGCAGCGGUUCUGACGUGCAAAUCGAUCGUCAAAUUUGGGCAUAGGGGCGAAAGACUAAUCGAACUAUCUAGUAGCUGGUUCCUGCCGAAGUUUCCCUCAGGAAC